rnacentral:rRNA from 1 species
CGCCUCUUGAAACUACAUAAGAGGUCCAGCCUGCCCAGUGACUAAGUUCAACGGCCGCGGUAUCCUAACCGUGCGAAGGUAGCGUAAUCACUUGUUCUUUAAAUGAGGACUAGUAUGAAUGGCACCACGAGGGUUAUGCUGUCUCCUUUUUCUAAUCAAUGAAACUGAUCUCCCCGUGAAGAAGCGGGGAUAUACCUAUAAGACGAGAAGACCCUAUGGAGCUUUAAAUCAUGUAACACUGGCUUUCACAUUAAAAUAUUCCAGAAUUUUCAUAAUUACUCUAGCCACUAUGAUUACUAGUUUUAGGUUGGGGUGACCACGGAGCAAAAAUUAACCUCCAUGUUGAACGGAGCUACUCCUGAGCCAAAAGCCACGACUUUAAGCACUAAAAAAUUAACAUUAAUUGACCCAAUAUUUUUGAUCAACGAACCAAGUUACCCUAGGGAUAACAG